CUAAGAGAAAGGUAUUAUUUAAAGGUAAAUUAUGUUUUAACUCUUCCUUUGUCUUUUCUAAGACUAUUUUUGGGGGUUUAGCUCAGUUGGCUAGAGCAUCGGCUUUGCAAGCCGGGGGUCGAGGGUUCGAGUCCCUCAACCUCCAUUUAUUUUAGGUCGAAUAAAUGGAGGUUGUAAUUAGAAGUAAGGCUAUAUUAGUUGUAUCUAAAUUUAAAAUUGUUAAAAACUAUUCUAAUUUUAUUAUCUAGACAAUGUGUUUUUUAUUAUGUCUUUAAUUAAGUACGGUGGUUUACGUAUGGCAAGUCAUGAUAAGUGAUCUUAAUUUGAUUUUGUUUUUUCAUUUUUUGUUUGCAUUCGUUAUAAUAAAUUUUGACUUUAAAGAUAUGGGCUUAGGAUUUGUAAAUCACUAGGUUUAAGACAUUUCUUUAAAUAUUUGGAUUUUUCUUUAAACGAGUCUUAUUAAAUUGGGACCAGGAGGAGUUGAACCUCCGACCUCAGG
rnacentral:misc_RNA from 1 species